rnacentral:rRNA from 1 species
UGAGGAGCGAAAGCGUGGGAGCGAACAGGAUUAGAUACCCUGGUAGUCCACGCCGUAAACGGUGGGAACUAGGUGUUGGCGACAUUCCACGUCGUCGGUGCCGCAGCUAACGCAUUAAGUUCCCGCCUGGGGAGUACGGCCGCAAGGCUAAAACUCAGAGGAAUUGACGGGGGCCCGCACAAGCGGCGGAGCAUGUGGCUUAAUUCGACGCAACGCGAAGAACCUUACCAAGGCUUGACAUACACCGGAAAGCAUUAGAGAUAGUGCCCCCCUUGUGGUCGGUGUACAGGUGGUGCAUGGCUGUCGUCAGCUCGUGUCGUGAGAUGUUGGGUUAAGUCCCGCAACGAGCGCAACCCUUGUCCCGUGUUGCCAGCAGGCCCUGUGG